GACUUGGCUCGCUGGGAGGCCGGGGGACCGCAGGCACUAUGCGUCCCGGGCCGUAACUUCGAAGUUAUGCUUGAGGAGCGGCCCGUUGGUGAAGAAAGCGAGCAAGGACAUCGGCAGCGGAUAGCCA
rnacentral:rRNA from 1 species